CUGCGGCGGUGCCGCCCGGAGCCCGGCCUGGCCCUCGGAAGUCCCGGGGGCGCGUGGAAGGAGCGUCGCGUGGAAGGAGCGUCGCCGUGGGUUUCCCGCACGGACUCUGCUCCCGAAGCCCGGCGCUCGGCCCCCGCCCCCGCGAGCUCCGGGGACUCAGGGGGCGUUGGCGGCCGGGGAAGUGAGCGGAAGCCUGGACAAACCACGGAAGGAGGGGUCCCUGGCGGAGGGCGCUGCCGCCUCCCGGGCCAGUUCCCGUUUGCUCGGGCCUCAUGAACGUGGGUGGGAGCCUGGCGCGCGGCCACGCGGCGCUUUCCGUGGGAAGGAUUGGCCUGGGUGCGUCCGGGGCUCCCGCCCGAAGCGCGAGCUGGAGGGGCGGGGGCUUCAGUGCGCCGCACACCCCAGCCCCCAAGCAGCCCCUCCAAGGGGCCGUGGCUCUGCAAGCGGGGUCUUCCUGUCUGUGUGCCCCGUGUCGGGAACUCGAGGACGAAGGGCAGGGUGGAGUUUGUCAUUCUUCCAGGUUGAAGUGUUUGCCAGCCGGAGGUGUGGGAGCAGGAAGGAGUAAGUGUCCAUGAAGGAGGAAGGCCUUCGUUCCAGUGACCAGCCCUUCCCUCCAGAAACAAAACCAAAAACUCUAGGACACGGACCUGAACAUCACUGGAUGGAGCCAAGAAAGGACGGUGAAAAGCAAGGAUACUUGUUUAAGUUGAAAUCAAGACCUUCCUCUUGGUGGAGGCACCGAGAUACACUGGGAUGAGCUCUCAGAAGUUUACCACUUUUCAAAAUGCCUAUUGUCCAGGGAAGAUGGACCAGUGAAAGGAUGGACUGUCCGUGGCAAAAUAUCUGGGAAUCCCAACCUGCGACUCCAGCACCUCUGUCCCCCUUGUAAUGAGGGUGCACCGUAUGACAUCCGUCAUCUUUGAGGGUGUUGAACCUGGAGCCUGAGAAGUAGGUUUGGUGUGGAGACUGUUGGGAAGCGGAGUUGGCGGGGGAUGUGCACUAGGGACACCUCCUGGCUUCACUCGCUGUUUUUGUGACUCUCCUAAGAUGGAGCUCGCUCUGUAGUUGUAGAGGAGACACCAUGAUGGCAGAGAGUGAAGUCAACUGAUUCUGCAAACAGGCCUAAUGAGGGGUCAUCACAGUUCUGUCGUCCCAAAAACUCACAUUGUCAAUGCAGGCCCCGCGGCCAGGCUCUCAGGAACUGAGUCAUGCUAGCCACACUCCCUGAAGACUCUUAAAAGAACAGAAUGUCCAUUCACAGUGGGAGCAUUCAUCUCCAGUGACCGAAAGACUCAUGGACAUGCUCUCCAGGCCCUUUCCUGCUAAAUCCUGUCCCAGACAGAGGGGACAGCCAAUAGAGAGUCCCCGAUCGUACACUGAGCACACCUGGCAGGUUAACAAAACAGGAAAGCAGUGAGGCUGGAGUGGAGUGGAGUGAGGGAGGCGGUGUCAGGGGCUGAGGUCAGAAAGGUUACCGGGAGCCAGAUCACAGGUCAUGCCCUCCACAUGCCCU